rnacentral:sRNA from 1 species
CCUGACACCCUUCCUCUUUGGGCUGCUGGCGGUGGGCACAGGUCCUAGAUGAGGUGGAGCGCCGGCGUGGGAUCUCCGCUGCAUUGGUCUAUCCUUUCAUGAGAAGUCUCAUGGAGUCGCCCUUCCCAGCCCCAGGGAAGACCAUCAAAGUGAAGACAUUCCUGCCAGGUGCUGGCAAUGAGUACCCUCUCCAGCUGCUCCCACGCGGUGGUGGCCUUGCUCUACCCCUUCUCCUGGCAGCACACCUUCAUUCCUGUCCUCCCGGCCUCCAUGAUUGACAUCGUCUGCUGUCCCACCCCCUUCCUGGUUGGCCUGCUCUCCAGCUCCCUCCCCAAACUGAAGGAGCUGCCUGUGGAGGAGGCGCUGAUGGUGAAUCUGGGAUCUGACCGAUUCAUCCGACAGAUGGACGACGAGGACACGUUGUUACCUAGGAAGUUACAGGCAGCUCUGGAGCAGGCUCUGG